UGGGGAAUAUUGGACAAUGGGCGCAAGCCUGAUCCAGCCAUGCCGCGUGUGUGAAGAAGGCCUUUUGGUUGUAAAGCACUUUAAGCGAGGAGGAGGCUACUUGGAUUAAUACUCUAGGAUAGUGGACGUUACUCGCAGAAUAAGCACCGGCUAACUCUGUGCCAGCAGCCGCGGUAAUACAGAGGGUGCGAGCGUUAAUCGGAUUUACUGGGCGUAAAGCGUGCGUAGGCGGCUUCUUAAGUCGGAUGUGAAAUCCCUGAGCUUAACUUAGGAAUUGCAUUCGAUACUGGGAAGCUAGAGUAUGGGAGAGGAUGGUAGAAUUCCAGGUGUAGCGGUGAAAUGCGUAGAGAUCUGGAGGAAUACCGAUGGCGAAGUCAGCCAUCUGGCCUAAUACUGACGCUGAGGUACGAAAGCAUGGGGAGCAAACAGG
rnacentral:rRNA from 1 species